rnacentral:rRNA from 1 species
AGUCGAACGAAGCAAUUAAGAUGAAGUUUUCGGAUGGAAUCUUGAUUGACUGAGUGGCGGACGGGUGAGUAACGCGUGGAUAACCUGCCUCACACUGGGGGAUAACAGUUAGAAAUGACUGCUAAUACCGCAUAAGCGCACAGUGCCGCAUGGCAGUGUGUGAAAAACUCCGGUGGUGUGAGAUGGAUCCGCGUCUGAUUAGCCAGUUGGCGGGGUAACGGCCCACCAAAGCGACGAUCAGUAGCCGACCUGAGAGGGUGACCGGCCACAUUGGGACUGAGACACGGCCCAAACUCCUACGGGAGGCAGCAGUGGGGAAUAUUGCACAAUGGGCGAAAGCCUGAUGCAGCGACGCCGCGUGAGUGAAGAAGUAUUUCGGUAUGUAAAGCUCUAUCAGCAGGGAAGAAAAUGACGGUACCUGACUAAGAAGCCCCGGCUAACUACGUGCCAGCAGCCGCGGUAAUACGUAGGGGGCAAGCGUUAUCCGGAUUUACUGGGUGUAAAGGGAGCGUAGACGGCGAAGCAAGUCUGAAGUGAAAGACCAGGACUCAACCCUGGGACUGCUUUGGAAACUGUUUUGCUAGAGUGUCGGAGAG